rnacentral:rRNA from 1 species
GACGAACGCUGGCGGCGUGCCUAAUACAUGCAAGUAGAACGCUGAAGGAGGAGCUUGCUUCUCUGGAUGAGUUGCGAACGGGUGAGUAACGCGUAGGUAACCUGCCUGGUAGCGGGGGAUAACUAUUGGAAACGAUAGCUAAUACCGCAUAAUAGCAGUUGUUGCAUGACAACUGUUUGAAAGGUGCAAUUGCACCACUACCAGAUGGACCUGCGUUGUAUUAGCUAGUUGGUGGGGUAACGGCUCACCAAGGCGACGAUACAUAGCCGACCUGAGAGGGUGAUCGGCCAAACUGGGAAUGAGACACGGCCCAGACUCCUACGGGAGGCAGCAGUAGGGAAUCUUCGGCAAUGGACGGAAGUCUGACCGAGCAACGCCGCGUGAGUGAAGAAGGGUUUCGGAUCGUAAAGCUCUGUUGUAAGAGAAGAACGAGUGUGAGAGUGGAAAGUUCACACUGUGACGGUAGCUUACCAGAAAGGGACGGCUAACUACGUG